ACACUCCUGCGGGAGGCAGCAGUGGGGAAUUUUGGACAAUGGGCGAAAGCCUGAUCCAGCAAUGCCGCGUGAGUGAAGAAGGCCUUCGGGUUGUAAAGCUCUUUUGUCAGGGAAGAAACGGUGAAAGCUAAUAUCUUUUGCUAAUGACGGUACCUGAAGAAUAAGCACCGGCUAACUACGUGCCAGCAGCCGCGGUAAUACGUAGGGUGCAAGCGUUAAUCGGAAUUACUGGGCGUAAAGCGUGCGCAGGCGGUUUUGUAAGUCUGAUGUGAAAUCCCCGGGCUCAACCUGGGAAUUGCAUUGGAGACGGCAAGGCUAGAAUCUGGCAGAGGGGGGUAGAAUUCCACGUGUAGCAGUGAAAUGCGUAGAUAUGUGGAGGAACACCGAUGGCGAAGGCAGCCCCCUGGGUCAAGAUUGACGCUCAUGCACGAAAGCGUGGGGAGCAAACAGGAUUAGAAACCCGGGUAGUCCCA
rnacentral:rRNA from 1 species